rnacentral:rRNA from 1 species
UACGUAGGGACCGAGCGUUGUCCGGAAUCAUUGGGCGUAAAGAGCGUGUAGGCGGCUUGCUAAGUCUUGCGUGAAAUCUCGGGGCUCAACCCCGAGCGGUCGUGGGAAACUGGCAGGCUAGAGUGCGGGAGAGGAGAAUGGAAUUCCUGGUGUAGCGGUGAAAUGCGCAGAUAUCAGGAGGAACACCGGUGGCGAAGGCGGCCUUCUGGGCCUGUUCUGACGCUGAGGAGCGAAAGCGUGGGGAGCAAACAGG